CAUAGCGACUAUCGUGGCAUAUCAAUAAGCGGAGGAAAAGAAACUAACUAGGAUUCCCUCAGUAACGGCGAGUGAAGCGGGAAGAGCUCAAAUUUCGAAAUCUUCAAGGUUCUACCUUGACGAAUUGUAGUUUAAAGAAGUGUUUCCUGUUGAGUUUCGGUAAAAGUUCUUUGGAAUAGGACAUCAUAGAGGGUGAGAAUCCCGUAUUUGACCGUUACUUUCAGCUGUGUGAUACACUUUCAAAGAGUCGGAUUGUUUGGGAAUGCAGUCCAAAAUGGGUGGUAAAUUUCAUCUAAAGCUAAAUAUUGGCGAGAGACCGAUAGCGAACAAGUACCGUGAGGGAAAGAUGAAAAGAACUUUGAAAAGAGAGUUAAACAGUACGUGAAAUUGUCAAAAGGGAAGCGUUUGACACCAGUGUUGUUUUUCCGAAAAUCAAUCAAAAAUUGAUUCAUGCCAGGUUGUAUUGACCUUAUCAGCUUGCAAUUUAGGUUUUGGGUCUCUUUUUGAUGCACUUUUCGGUUAACAAGUCAACAUCAAUUUCCUUUGCUGUAAAAAGGUAAGAGGAAGGUGGCUUCAAUUUCGGUUGAAGUGUUUAUAGCCUUUUAUCUCUGCAGUCGGGGAGAUUGAGGUCUGCAGCGUAGAUCCUUCGGGGCUAGAUACAUUUAUGCUAAGUUAUAGCUUUUCAUAGACAACUUGUUGACUAUGUUUAGUCAUGUAGCUUACUCGUAAGUGCUAUUUUACCUACGCUUAGGAUGUUGAUAGUCACAGCGUGUAC
rnacentral:rRNA from 1 species